CGGGGCCAUAGCUCAGCUGGGAGAGCGCGUGCUUUGCAAGC
rnacentral:tRNA from 8 species